ensembl:lncRNA
UGAGAGCCAGAGACUAUGCAAACUGAAGGCCUGUAAAGAGGAGUUUUACAACGCUGUGAUCAACGUCUUCACGAGGAAAGAGCGGCGGAUGGAUUUUAUAUACAAAUAAUAUACCGAUUGCAAUGAUGACAUUCGACCUCAGAGCUACAGUCCCUUCGUCUACGAACUCUCUUCAGCCUGGCCCAACGAACAUAAGACCCUCAGCGCACCCCUUUUCCCCAAGGACUGGUUCCAUGCUGUGGUUCUGGGAAUCUUUCCCACGUCUGGACCCCGCUGCUCCAGCAGCCACUGCUCCGCCGCCGCCCUUCAGGGCCACCUUGCAGGGCGCAGAAAAACUGGCCCUUGAAAUAUGCGUGGCCGUCCUGGAGGGUUCGGGCUCGGCCACAAAUGUCGCAGGGACCCCCCAGGCUCUACUUCUUCUCUCCUUUGUCUCUAAUCCAGGCCAAUAUGAACAGUUUGACCCAGGUUAGACAUUAAGUGAACUUGAACCCCUCCCCUCAACACCUCUGAACAGCAGGGUGGGUGGAAAGUUCCUUGAAACCUUUAAGGUUUUGAAAGCCCUCCCCUCUGGACAGCAGGGUGGAAAGUUACGUGCAAACUUUGGACAGUACACAAUAACUAUUUACAAAUAUUUAGGCGGGGCGGGGCGAGGGGGGGGCUGCCCCCUCCGCCUGUUUUUCUGCCAGCCACUGCUCCACCGUCUUAGACUGGCCACAGAGCCGGCAGUUAAACCUGCACGAGGUGGCUGAGGCUGAGGACGAAGAUGUGCUGGCGCUGGCACUGGCACUGGCACUGGCGACGACGAGGUCAUACGCACCAGUUUACCUGAUUGCUGGAUGAGAUGUACCUCGCCAUUAUCUGAUGGAUGAUUAAAUGUAAUGUGAAUGGAUUAAAUGUAAU